UACGGAGGGGGCGAGUGUUGUUCGGAAUUACUGGGCGUAAAGGGCGCGCAGGCGGCCUGGCAAGUCGAGUGUGAAAUCCCUUGGCUUAACUGGGGAAUGGCGCUCGAAACUACCUCGCUGGAGGGCGGGAGAGGGAAGUGGAACUCUCGGUGUAGGGGUGAAAUCUGUAGAUAUCGAGAGGAACACCGGUGGCGAAGGCGGCUUCCUGGCCCGUACCUGACGCUGAGGCGCGAAAGCGUGGGGAGCGAUCCGG
rnacentral:rRNA from 1 species